rnacentral:rRNA from 1 species
ACGCUCGACACCUACGGAGGCAGCAGUGGGGAAUAUUGCACAAUGGGGGAAACCCUGAUGCAGCAACGCCGCGUGAAAGAAGACGGUUUUCGGAUUGUAAACUUCUGUUCUUAGUGAAGAUAGUGACGGUAGCUAAGGAGCAAGCCACGGCUAACUACGUGCUAGCAGCCGCGGUAAUCUGAGCGGGCUGGCAAGGC